rnacentral:rRNA from 1 species
UGCAAGUCGUGCGAAGUGGAGGGAGCUUGCUCCCAAAGCUUAGCGGCGGACGGGUGAGUAACACGUAGGCAACCUGCCUGUAAGACUGGGAUAACUCCGGGAAACCGGUGCUAAUACCAGAUAACCUGUAAGACCGCAUGGUCUUACACUAAAAGGACAUGAUCCACUUACAGAUGGGCCUGCGGCGCAUUAGCUAGUUGGUGAGGUAACGGCUCACCAAGGCGACGAUGCGUAGCCGACCUGAGAGGGUGACCGGCCACACUGGGACUGAGACACGGCCCAGACUCCUACGGGAGGCAGCAGUAGGGAAUCUUCCGCAAUGGACGAAAGUCUGACGGAGCAACGCCGCGUGAGUGAUGAAGGUUUUCGGAUUGUAAAACUCUGUUGUCAGGGAAGAAUACCCUAGAUCGACUCUAGGUCUGACGGUACCUGACGAGAAAGCCCCGGCUAACUACGUGCCAGCAGCCGCGGUAAUACGUAGGGGGCAAGCGUUGUCCGGAAUUAUUGGGCGUAAAGCGCGCGCAGGCGGUCUCUUAAGUCUGAUGUGAAAGUCCACGGCUCAACCGUGGGAUUGCAUUGGAAACUGGGAGACUUGAGUGCAGAAGAGGAGAGUGGAAUUCCUGGUGUAGCGGUGAAAUGCGUAGAGAUCAGGAGGAACACCAAUGGCGAAGGCAGCUCUCUGGUCUGUAACUGACGCUGAGGCGCGAAAGCGUGGGUAGCAAACAGGAUUAGAUACCCUGGUAGUCCACGCCGUAAACGAUGAGUGCUAGGUGUUAGGGGUUUCAAUACCCUUAGUGCCGAAGUUAACACAUUAAGCACUCCGCCUGG